rnacentral:rRNA from 1 species
AUUGAACGCUGGCGGCAUGCUUUACACAUGCAAGUCGAACGGCAGCACGGGUGCUUGCACCUGGUGGCGGGUGGCGAACGGGUGAGUAAUGCAUCGGAACGUGCCCAUGAGUGGGGGAUAGCCCGGCGAAAGCCGGAUUAAUACCGCAUACGCCCUUAGGGGGAAAGCGGGGGAUCUUCGGACCUCGCGCUAUUGGAGCGGCCGAUGUCGGAUUAGCUAGUAGGUGAGGUAAAGGCUCACCUAGGCGACGAUCCGUAGCUGGUCUGAGAGGAUGAUCAGCCACACUGGGACUGAGACACGGCCCAGACUCCUACGGGAGGCAGCAGUGGGGAAUUUUGGACAAUGGGCGCAAGCCUGAUCCAGCCAUGCCGCGUGAGUGAAGAAGGCCUCGGUUGUAAGACGUCUUCUAGGUGGUAAGGAAAGUAAG